GCCUUCGUGGUGUAGUGGUCAGCACGCUCGGCGCGUAUUCGAGAGGUCCGUGGUUCGAGUCCCGGCGUGUGCA
rnacentral:tRNA from 1 species